rnacentral:rRNA from 1 species
GAUGAACGCUAGCUACAGGCUUAACACAUGCAAGUCGAGGGGUAACGAGAGGGAAGCUUGCUUUCCUUGUCGACGACCGGCGCACGGGUGAGUAACGCGUAUCCAACCUGCCCCCAACUAGGGAAUAACCUUGCGAAAGUAAAACUAAUACCCUAUAAUUUCCUCAGAUGUCAUCUGACGAGGAAUAAAGAUUUAUCGGUUGUGGAUGGGGAUGCGUCUGAUUAGCUUGUUGGCGGGGUAACGGCCCACCAAGGCAACGAUCAGUAGGGGUUCUGAGAGGAAGGUCCCCCACAUUGGAACUGAGACACGGUCCAAACUCCUACGGGAGGCAGCAGUGAGGAAUAUUGGUCAAUGGGCGGAAGCCUGAACCAGCCAAGUAGCGUGCAGGAUGACGGCCCUAUGGGUUGUAGACUGCUUUUAUACAGGAAUAAAGUUAGCCACGUGUGGUUAUUUGUAGGUACUGUAUGAAUAAGGACCGGCUAAUUCCGUGCCAGCCGCCGCUGUAA